UUGAUUUCCUGAUUAUAACAUUAAUGUGUAAAUGUAUUUUUCUGCUACCAGCUAAAUGUUCCUCCUCUGUUCCCACAGGUAUACCAUAAUUCAAGGACCACGUAACCCUGGGAGACUAUGAAAUCCACGAUGGGAUGAACCUGGAGCUGUACUACCAGUAGAGGACCUCAAGUCAAUAAUGCAGAGAUGACUCUUCCAUGAUAUAUAUACACACACACACACACACACACACACACACACACACACACACACACACACUCAGUCGCAGAAAACAACCAUGAUCAGACAACACAACUGAAAGAGGAGCCGGAAAACACACACACACACCAUUUUAGAUUAUGAUUUUUGCCCAUAAAUUGACCAAAAGUCAUGUUGUUCCACAGUUUUUUUGAUAUUUUUGAAUAAAAGGAUGUUUAUACCUAU